rnacentral:rRNA from 1 species
AGUGAACACUGGCGGUAGGCCUAACACAUGCAAGUCGAACGGCAGCACAGUAAGAGCUUGCUCUUACGGGUGGUGAGUGGCGGACGGGUGAGGAAUACAUCGGAAUCUACUUUUUCGUGGGGGAUAACGUAGGGAAACUUACGCUAAUACCGCAUACGACCUACGGGUGAAAGCAGGGGAUCUUCGGACCUUGCGCGAUUGAAUGAGCCGAUGUCGGAUUAGCUAGUUGGCGGGGUAAAGGCCCACCAAGGCGACGAUCCGUAGCUGGUCUGAGAGGAUGAUCAGCCACACUGGAACUGAGACACGGUCCAGACUCCUACGGGAGGCAGCAGUGGGGAAUAUUGGACAAUGGGCGCAAGCCUGAUCCAGCCAUACCGCGUGGGUGAAGAAGGCCUUCGGGUUGUAAAGCCCUUUUGUUGGGAAAGAAAAGCAGCAGGUUAAUACCCCGCUGUUCUGACGGUACCCAAAGAAUAAGCACCGGCUAACUUCGUG